rnacentral:tRNA from 1 species
GCGCGUGUGGUUUAAUGGUAGAAUAUCUCGUUGCCAACGAGGUGACCCGAGUUCGAUUCUCGGCACGCGCA